rnacentral:rRNA from 1 species
UCAGGAUGAACGCUAGCUACAGGCUUAACACAUGCAAGUCGAGGGGCAGCAUUGGGAUAGCUUGCUAUUCAGAUGGCGACCGGCGCACGGGUGAGUAACGCGUAUCCAACCUUCCUGCCAGUAGGGAACAGCCCGGCGAAAGUCGGAUUAAUGCCCUAUGUUCUUCAAUGCGGACAUCUAAGUUGAAGGAAAGAUUCAUCGCUGGCAGAUGGGGAUGCGUCCGAUUAGCUUGCCGGCGGGGUAACGGCCCACCGGGGCGACGAUCGGUAGGGGUUCUGAGAGGAAGGUCCCCCACACUGGUACUGAGACACGGACCAGACUCCUACGGGAGGCAGCAGUGAGGAAUAUUGGUCAAUGGGCGUAAGCCUGAACCAGCCAAGUAGCGUGCAGGAAUGACGGCCCUACGGGUUGUAAACUGCUUUUAUGCGGGGAUAAAGUGCGGCACGUGUGCCGCUUUGCAGGUACCGCAUGAAUAAGGACCGGCUAAUUCCGUGCCAGCCGCUGC